AAAAGGUGCCCUGAACCUCGGAAAACUAACCUCGCUCUGUAGCUUUUCUCCCCUCCCCAAGGUCUUGGGCACGCACAUUUAAAGCCAAAAACCUUAGUUUGGCCCAGAACUCCAACCACCAGAGGUUACCCGGAGGGGCUUUUUUUUUAAGCCUGAGGGUUCCCACCCCCAGCUCGGGAGCCUUGGGAAUGGCCCGGUUACCUUAGAAGUGCAGCCCCGAGGUGAAAGCACUGGGUCACCAUCUCUGCUCCUCCGGUCCCGCGGCUCGCUACGUGACACUCAAGCUGAGGGACUCGCCCCCGGCCCCUCCAAACGUUAGCGUCACAUUCAAAGUCACAUCUCCCACCCCAAACUCCCUUCAGGGUGCACCACACUACCCUGACUCUCUACUCUCUACUUCUUGAUCUCAUUCAGUCUUUCCAACAGAGUGAACAAAAACCUGCCAAGGUGAGCGAUUUGCACACGGUGGCGUAAGAAAUACCAAAACUGAGCAGUCCGGUUCUUUUAAAUGCUAAUCUUUCUGGCAGUACAGGGGAAAGAGGAAGAAAUACGGGAGUGAGGGUUUCCCUUAAGGAAUAUUUUUCUUUGUGGGGGGAAGAAUACAAACUUCGGCGGUGGGGUUAAUGAGGCUGAAGUGACAAAUAUUUAAACCAUAUGUAAACAGAUUUGAGGGGCUAGAGAACCCAGAGAAAUAUAGAAAAAGAAUGAAACUCCUCCUGUCUUAGAGGUUGCAUCUGGAGCUGGGCUGGCCCCCGGGGGAAGUGCUUCUCCUUCCUCCACCCCAAUCGUGCGCAUCUGCCACUUUCUACUUUUCACAAUUGUCACUAUCAUUCCGUCACUGGUAGCAUUACUAAUAUCAGAGCAGCAGCACUGAGAUAUUGUGGACUACAUCAAUCCUUCCCUCCCAAUUCUGACUAAAUUUUCUUAAUCCCUGAGUUAAAAUCAUAUUGGAGUAAAUAACUAGUCCUUUAGAGAACUAAGUUCUCCAAGGAAAAGAAGAAAAAAAAAUAACCCUUUAUAUGAACUUUGAAAAAGCAGAUCUUUUCGUGACAGCACUAUUUUUUUCCUUAUGUUGUUGUUUGGAGAUAAACCCUGAGUUCUUCAAGGUUUUACCCACAAAGCUCAAGAUAUUUUCUUAGUACAGGCCUAAGGAGGAACUGUCUGUCUAAUGGAAAGACUCGUUCAUUCUCAAAGAGAUGGCCACCAGAUCAUAAUUAUUUUUUAGCCUCAGUUCUAUAAAGGCAGAGAGAGGUGACACUUUGCAUUGCUGGAGGAAACAUACAUAUGUGAAACUAAUAGUCUAUGAAUUAUUAAAGUAAGAAAGGCCAUAGUUCUCAUGAAAAACAUUGCCAACUUUUAUAUUCCAAAGCCCAUUUGUCAUUGUCAAGGUUUUUCUUAAGUGCUAUUAAAUGGACAAAUGCUUUUUCUCCUUGUAAUACACAGCAAGAGUAUUUUUCAAAUGCUAUCAAACAACAAUGGGAAUUUUGGACUGAAAAUAAACCUAUAAGGUCUAAAGUUCCAUUUUGUGUGUGUGUAUUAUCUAACUCAGUAAGGAUGUAAACUGUAUUUAAUAAUCUUGAGG
ensembl:lncRNA